rnacentral:rRNA from 1 species
AACGAACGCUGGCGGCAGGCCUAACACAUGCAAGUCGAACGCUCCAGCAAUGGAGAGUGGCAGACGGGUGAAUAACGCGUGGGAACCUACCCUUUGGUUCGGAAUAGCCCAGGGAAGCUUGGGGUAAUACCGGAUAAGCCCUUCGGGGGAAAGAUUUAUCGCCAAUGGAUGGGCCCGCGUCGGAUUAGCUAGUUGGUGGGGUAACGGCCCACCAAGGCGACGAUCCGUAGCUGGUCUGAGAGGAUGAUCAGCCACACUGGGACUGAGACACGGCCCAGACUCCUACGGGAGGCAGCAGUGGGGAAUAUUGGACAAUGGGCGCAAGCCUGAUCCAGCCAUGCCGCGUGAGUGACGAAGGUCUUCGGAUUGUAAAGCUCUUUUGGCGGGGAAGAUAAUGACGGUACCCGCAGAAUAAGCCCCGGCCAACUUCGUGCCAGCCGCCGCGGUAA